UGACACUCUGAAAAAGGUAAAAAGAGAUGGUAAAAGGAUCCAUGGUUUUCUGACGUGAUGACAACAGCACUUUCCCUUUGUGAUUUUCCUCCCCCAAACCCAUAACCUCAGACUAAUCAGGAGAAAAAAAAAAACGUUAAACAAAUCCUAAUUCAGGGGCAUUUUACAAAAUAACCAAGUAGUACUCCUCAAAACGGUUAAGGCCGUCAAAAACAAGAAAAGUUUGAGAAACUGUCAUAGUCUAGAGGACCAGAAGAGGUGUGAUGGUUGAUAAUAAGUGUCAACUUGAUUGGAUUGAAGGAUGCAAAGUAUUGUUCCUGCGUGCGUCUGUGAGGGUGUUGCCAGAGGAGAUUAACAUUUGAGGCAGUGGACUGGCAGAGGCAGACCACCCUCAAUCUGGGUGGGCACCAUCCAAUCGGCUGCUAGUGCUGCUAGGAAAAGCAGGUGGAAGAAGGUGGAAGAGCAGACUUGCUGAGUCUUCCGGCCUCCAUCUUUCUCCCACGCUGGAUGCUUCCUGCCCUCGAACCUCAGACUCCAGGUUCUUCAGCUUUUGGACUCUUGGACUUACACCAGUGCUUUGCCAGGGGCUCUCAGGUCUUCGGCCACACACUGAAGGCUGCACUGUCAGCUUCCCUCCUUUUGAGGCUUUGUGACUCCGACUGAGCCACUACUGGCUUCCUUGCUCCUCACCUUGCAGAUGGCCUAUCAUGGGACUUCACCUUGUGACCGUCUGCCAUGGAUUUAAAUCAUUUGGGAAGACAGACUCAUCCAGAUCCUAAAGGAAGUUUUACUAAAACAGCUCUAAGGGUCAAAUGGAAAGGAGAUCAUUCUCCAGAAGGCAGUUGACCGUGUCCCGGUGUUGUGUUCAACCUUAUAGUCUUAGGUUAUCUGGAAGCACGAUCUUCCCAUUGAAAAAGAAAAGGAGAACUCAGCUUUUCACAUAUACAUGUAGUGAUCCUUGACCAAUGUCGAUUCCCAGAUACACAAAUCUUCCGCACAAGCCCCAAGCACCCUGCUCAUUUUUCAGAGUUGAGCAUCUAUUUGUGGAACAUAUGUGAGCAGCCACUGGAAAUUUUCCAUUCUUUUGAAGACAGCCAAACAUUCAUUCCAGGACUAUACAUAUUUUUUAUUGUGAAAAAUGACUUGAAAAAUGCUCUUAGAGACUAAGUUUUUAAAAAUAUUCUGUUCUGUUACGCUUUCUUUCCUUUUCUUUUUUUUUCUGGGCAGAAAGAAAUACAAAGAAGCCUAAUUUAAAAGUAUGUUUAAUUCAGAGAAUAGGAAACUUUCUUUCUUAGCCUACUUUUGAGUAUUUCUGUCACAAGUGUAUUCUCAGUUCAGCUCUGAAGGAGUCAAUUUAAUUGGACUUGACCAACUGCUAGUGCCACUUAGCAGAUGCUGUAGUAGUUUUUUUAUUGUGUGAUCGCCCCAGCAUAUUUAUGGUUUUAGGUUAUGGAUUUUUAAAUUGUUAAAUUCUUACCCAGACUCACCAUGUUAACCUAUGCUCCAUCUGUAAGAGUAAGACCUCAACUCCUUGAAGAGAUAGGUAGAGAGAGAAAGAGGAAAAAAAUCCAGUAUCUUAUUGGAACCAGAAGACUGAAAGAGAAACGUGCUCCUAUAGAGUCAUCUUGAGAAGCAUGACUCAAAUUUAAAAUGGAGCAUUACAGUCCAGAGAAGUGUAGUAGGAAUGCCACCUUUACAGCAAUUUUCCAGCUUUAUAUUAAAUAAAUAAAUAAAUAAAUAAAUAAAUAAAUAAAUAAAUAAAUGGCUGGGUCUGCUGAAGUUUUUCACAUAUAAUGUAUAUGUAGAAAAUUGUAGCAUUCUAUUUACCUUGAUUUUGGAGCCCUCAAAGUAACCUGUGGAAUUUUUUGAAAUCACACUUUCACUGUAGCCUAUGGAAAGUUUAUACAGGCAUAUGUCACUUUUAGAGUUGCAGAGCUUUGUGCUCCGUCUGCUCAGCAGAAGCAGUAGAGGUUUUAUUACUGUCGAAUCCUAGCAGUAUAUUAUUUAAAAUGAAAACAAGCAAAAACAAACAAGCAGAAUUCUUCCUCAUCACACUGCUCAUAGUUUUCUACCUGCUAUACUGUUUCUUCCUUCCAUGAUUUUGCUAAUGCUCUUCUAUCUUCAUCUCUUUUUCCUGUGGUGAAUCCCAACUGAGGCCAUAAAGUUCAAUUCAAACAUUAUCUACUCCAGGAAGCCUGUUGUGCCCACCCCUCAACAAAAGAUUGAAUGAAUAAAUAGCAAGACUCCCCUCCCCAAAUUCUAUUUUCACAGAGUUUAAAAAGAAUAGUAUCCUUCAUGCAAAGAAUAUUCUACUGGCAUGUAAUUUAAACACCACUAUU
rnacentral:lncRNA from 10 species